CAGCCGCCACGGGAAUACGAAGGGUGCAAGCGUUACUCGGAAUUACUGGGCGUAAAGCGUGCGUAGGUGGUGGUUUAAGUCCGUUGUGAAAGCCCUGGGCUCAACCUGGGAAUUGCAGUGGAUACUGGGUCACUAGAGUGUGGUAGAGGAUAGUGGAAUUUCCGGUGUAGCAGUGAAAUGCGUAGAGAUCGGAAGGAACAUCUGUGGCGAAGGCGGCCAUCUGGGACAACACUGACGCUGAGGCACGAAAGCGUGGGGAGCAAACAGGAUUAGAUACCCCCGUAGUCCCUGUCUCUUAUAC
rnacentral:rRNA from 1 species